rnacentral:lncRNA from 1 species
AAAGGAAAAUUAGAGUGCAAAACACACCUUUGCAUUUCAAAAGGGCUAUCAAGCUGGUUCCUGCUAAGUCUUCAGCAACCCUCAGCACCUGAUGCAAGGCUGCUGACGGCCUGGAAUAUUCUGGAAGCACCUCCCAGCCACCGAAGUAUUCACUACAGGUGAGCAGAGCUUCUCUUUUUCUUCUCUUUUUUUUAAAUAGAACUACUGAAACUGAAACUCCUGAGACUACUCAAAAAAAUGAAACCUACUGAAACCACUCAAGCACCUGAAAGCACCCUCCGUGGUCCACCUGAGACGUGCUAGCAGUAAUGGCCACAAACAUACCUCAGGUAGGCUGCAGCAGGGACAGGUCUCGCUGAAGGGCCACGGACCUUCACUCUUGCCUUCAAAAAAUAAUAAUAAAAAAAUGGAGGUGGGGGGCAGCAGGGAGGCCGGGCUAGGCUGGGCUGGGCUCUGAGCUCCUGGUGGGAACUCCCUUUUCUUACUGGCCUGCCAGGGCCAUGGGUCUUCUUACCUCUCCCAAGAAACAGACGCUUCCUUGCACAAAGACAGAGAGGGUCACGGCUGCUGGGGUUACGCUGCCUGCGCUUCACCCAACUGCUGCUCGGAGCACCAGGAGGUUUUUGCUGGACUUCACCGACCUGUGGACCACAGUCCAAGAAGAAAAUUCAUCCCUGCUUCUGUUACCGCUCGUUCCCCCUUGGGGAUGUUUACAAGAGAGAUGUGCAGGCUUACAGCGGAAGUCUCCUGCUCCCCUCACCCCAGAGGUCGGCGCGGCGUUUAGGAGCAGAGAAUGAAACCUGCUCACAGCUGUGUCAGGUCCUGGCCUCGGCAGGAGCACACGUGGGAGAACCUUCGGCAAGGAGAGAAGAGAGGAUUUGCCCGAUGACACUUCUGGCUGAGCAGCGACUCGUUCAAGUCCUUGAGGAUGUUUUGAAGUCCAGGUAUCCCAAAGCACUUAUCAAAGCUAUUAUGAAAUGCUUUGAAUUAAUGACGAAACAGACUGUAAUGCAGUGA